AUACCUAUCUAUAUAAUAAAUCACACCCGCGUCACUUUGCUCCCUCUUUCCAACGGGGACACCCUUUGCACCGCCGCCUCUUCCCGGACACCCUCCAUCUUCACCACCGGUGUUGCAACCCUUCGUAACCUGUCCUUAUUUCUCACGAUUGUCGAACUCAUUGACUUGGGGAAGAACUGAAGAUUUAGUAAGUUUUGGCCAUCAAUUUCAUGGGCAUUGCCAUAGCAAUUGCCAACUGUCAAAGAGGAAGGUUGCAAUUUCUUCAAUAAUGAUACCAGGUUAGAAAUUGCUUGGAGAGAUACGAAAUAUAGUCAAAGAAAAUAGAACAUUCAAGAAUUUUGAGUUCUCCUUAAGUUUUCUCAAGAAUCUUAACUUUCUUUGUAUAUAUUUUCCAACAGUAGACUUUUAUUUAUGAAAUAUAUAAGGUUAUUAGCUAUUCAUAUGUGGUCAAUAUUGUGAUUCAAAGGAAAUUUUUGUACAAAUAAUAUUGAUUAUAUUUUAUACGUUAGUUCUGUUUAGAUUUUAAUCAUGGUUGAUAUAUUGUGAUUGAUAG